GAAUCCAUUUUUCCCCCAAAAGAGAGAGAGGAAACAAAAGAGUUAAACAAUGGCGUUCGUCAAACUCAACUUCGAAACCACAAGGCAAAGAGAGUAUUGCAUCACCCACAACGAUAAACCUUAAUCCAAUUCCUUUCCUAAGCUUUCUCUUCAAAAUCCUCCUCCCAAAAUUACCCAAUCAAUCAUCUUCUAGGGUUUCUAAAUUGCUUUCAAAUUCGAUCCAAUCAUCUUCCAAAACCAUACCAAUUCGAAGCUUUCACACCCUAACAAUGGCGAUGAAGCCGUUAAACAACAUCUGGAUCCGUCGUCAACAAUGUCCUUGUGGUGAUUGGAAAUGCUAUAUAAGAUUCGAAGGAGACGAAUCAAUAACGAAGAGCGAGCUCGAAUCAUCAUCAACAACAACAACGAGUAAUACAGUUUCAUCACUAUAUGAUAAUACUGUGUUUAUGCCUUAUGUUGGUCAAAUCUUCGGAACAGACGACGAAGCGUUUGAGUAUUACAGUACAUUUGCUAGGAAGAGUGGGUUCUCGAUUAGGAAAGCUCGGUCUACGGAGAGUCAGAACUUAGGUGUGUAUAGGAGAGAUUUCGUUUGUUAUCGUUCUGGUUUUAAUCAACCUAGGAAGAAAGCUAAUGUAGAGCAUCCACGGGAACGUAAGUCUGUUAGAUGUGGAUGUGAUGGUAAGUUGUAUUUGACUAAAGAAGUUGUUGGUGGUGUGAGUCAUUGGUAUGUUUCACAGUUUAGUAAUGUUCAUAACCAUGAGCUUUUGGAAGAUGAUCAAGUUAGGUUGCUUCCUGCUUAUAGGAAGAUUAAGCAAGAUGAUCAGGAUAGGAUUCUUUUGUUGUCUAAAGCUGGUUUUCCUGUGAAUCGGAUUGUUAAGUUGUUGGAGUUAGAGAAAGGUGUUCAGGCUGGGCAGUUGCCGUUUAUUGAGAAAGAUGUUAGGAACUUUGUUAGGGCGUGUAAGAAGAGUGUUCAAGAGAAUGAUGCUUUUCUUAGUGAGAAACGGGAUAGUGAUACGCUUGAGCUUCUUGAGUCUUGUAAAGUUUUGGCUGAGAGAGAUAUGGAAUUUGGUUAUGAUUGUACGUCUGAUGAGAAUCAGAAAGUUGAAAACCUUGCGUGGGCUUAUGGGGAUUGUGUUCGGGCGUAUUCUUUGUUUGGGGAUGUGGUUGUUUUCGACACUACUUAUCGGUCGAUCCCUUAUGGGUUGCUUCUUGGGGUGUUUUUUGGGAUAGACAACAAUGGUAAGGCGAUUCUUUUGGGAUGUGUUUUGCUGCAAGAUGAAAGUUGUCAUUCUUUCACAUGGGCUUUACAGACAUUUAUUCGUUUCAUGAGGGGGCGGCAUCCUCAGACAAUACUGACGGAUAUAGAUACUGGACUUAAAGAUGCUAUUGCAAGGGAGAUGCCUAAUACUAACCAUGUGGUAUUUAUGUGGCACAUAGUCUCCAAGCUAGCAAGCUGGUUUUCUCAGACUCUUGGGUCGCACUAUGAUGAAUUUAGAGCUGGGUUUGAGAUGUUAUGCCGUGUAGGGAAUGUAGAUGAAUUUGAACAGCAGUGGAAUCUCCUUGUCACUCGGUUUGGUCUUGUUCCAGAUAGACAUGCGGCUUUGCUUUAUUCGUGCCGAGCAUCCUGGUCACCUUGUUACAUCAGAGAACAUUUUGUUGCUCAAACUAUGACCCCUGACUUUAAUCUAUCUAUAGAAUCUUUCUUGAAAAGAAUUGUUUCUGGGCCGACAUGCAUGCAACUAUUACUUGAAGAGAUAGCAUUGCAGGUCAGUGCUGCUGCAUGUCUAGCUAAGCAAAUCCCGCCACGAUUCACUUAUUCGAGCUUGAAAACCUGUAUGCCUAUGGAAGAUCAUGCAAGGGAGAUUCUGACGCCUUUCGCCUUUAGCGUAUUACAAAACGAAAUGGUUUUGUCUGUGCAGUAUGCUGUGUCUGAGAUGGCCAAUGGUCCAUACAUCGUACAUCACUUUAAGAAAAUGGAAGGGGAAUGUUGUGUGAUUUGGAACCCGGAAAAUGAGGAGAUCCAAUGUUCAUGCAAGGAAUUUGAGCAUUCAGGAAUCUUGUGCAGGCAUAUUCUUCGGGUACUGACUGUGAAAAACUGCUUCCAUAUACCUGAACAGUACUUUCUGUUACGAUGGAGACAGGACAGUCCUCACGUUGCUGCAGAGAAUCAAAAUGGCCAGGGCAUUGGCGAUGACUGUGCUCAAACGUUUCAUUCGCUCACAGAAACUCUCCUCACAGAGUCUAUGAUCUCAAAGGAUCGACUUGAUUACGCUAACCAAGAACUUUCUCUACUUAUUGAUCGUGUGAGAAAUGUGCCACCAGCUAAUUGCUUGUAUCAGCCAUGACUGCUAAAUGCUAUCCAGCCAUUGAAAUGCUAAACAGCCGCGUUGACAGGCUAUGUUCGCAGCGUUUGGUCCAUCCCAGUAACAUAGUCUACACCUGUCCUGUUUCACUAGUAAAUUCUUUGAGUCUGUACUUUGGAGGCUAUAACCAUAUUGAGGUACUAUUCUUUUCAAGACCGUAGCAGCUCCUUCAUCGCCCUUACCUUGAGAAAUCGUCCCUUGAAGAUCCUUCUUUGUUCUUCAUUGCCUUCGGGGAGAGAAGCUAUCUCCUGUGAUAACUUGCAUCAUGAUCGAGUAGUUAUCUUUAUUGGCUUGUAUCGGGUGCUUCAAAGGUGAUUCAUGGUUUGAUUCUUCGAUUACAAUUUGAGUUACUCUGGGAUAUGUUUUGCAUACUACAUGUUGUUUGUUUGGAUUGCCUACCAAGCACUGAUUUUGGAGAAUAGAAAGCUCUACUCGUGUAGACUGAUGUGUGCGGUAUUUCACUUCAAUCUUUUUACCUGAAAAGACCACAUGAUAACUGCCACUGUACAGUAAAUAAGUUGAUCUCAGAGAUUGAAUUCA